AGCGAACGCUGGCGGCAGGCCUAACACAUGCAAGUCGAACGAACCUUUCGGGGUUAGUGGCGGACGGGUGAGUAACACGUGGGAACGUGCCUUUAGGUUCGGAAUAACUCAGGGAAACUUGUGCUAAUACCGAAUGUGCCCUUCGGGGGAAAGAUUUAUCGCCUUUAGAGCGGCCCGCGUCUGAUUAGCUAGUUGGUUGAGGUAAUGGCUCACCAAGGCGACUAUCAGUAGCUGGUCUGAGAGGAUGAUCAGCCACAUUGGGACUGAGACACGGCCCAAACUCCUACGGGAAGCAGCAGUGGGGAAUCUUGCGCAAUGGGCGAAAGCCUGACGCAGCCAUGCCGCGUGAAUGAUGAAGGUCUUAGGAUUGUAAAAUUCUUUCACCGGGGACGAUAAUGACGGUACCCGGAGAAGAAGCCCCGGCUAACUUCGUG
rnacentral:rRNA from 1 species